rnacentral:miRNA from 1 species
GCAGGCUGGAGGACAGAGAUGAGUCACGGGGUUCCUAGAUGCUCUGGUCUCCCUCUUCCCACAG